AUUGGAAGCCAUAAUCACACCAGAUAUUCACAGGCAAAACCAAAUAUUCACACACAGAACCAGAUAUUCACACAGAAAAUCAGAUACUCACCUACUGAGCCAGGUAAUCACACAGAACACAUACAAUAGUCAAGAUAAGGAAAGAGUUACCCUCCUUCUUCACGACCGGAGAAGAUCGGCCUUCAAGCAAACAGAGAAAACCCUAGGUUGAAAACCCUAGGUAUAACCGUCAGAAAUCUUACUGUAAGUAUGGUCAGGAAUGUCGGAAAGUCACCCAAAACAUCCUCUGAGUGAGAAUCGAGCCACCGGAUGAUAGUAAAACUUUAGGUUAAACCACCAGAAACCCUAGAAGCCGAUAGGUCACCCAAAAAUCAACCCAAAAUCAUCGUAAAAUCUUCCAGAACGUUCAGGAGAAGAAGAUGCACUCAGAUAUCACAACGAAAGACUCAGAAAAGUCUCCGAGAGGUCGGAAUCUUCAUCGACCGUGAGGUCUCAGAAAUCACCCCCAAAACCUCGAAACGGACUUCAUCCAGGACAACGAAAUGCAUAGAAACAUAGUCGGAUCGUCGUCGAGGCUCUGAUACCA
rnacentral:lncRNA from 1 species